AUUGAACGCUGGCGGAAUGCUUUACACAUGCAAGUCGAACGGCAGCACGGACUUCGGUCUGGUGGCGAGUGGCGAACGGGUGAGUAAUGUAUCGGAACGUGCCCAGUCGUGGGGGAUAACGUAGUGAAAAUUACGCUAAUACCGCAUACGAUCUAUGGAUGAAAGCGGGGGAUCGCAAGACCUCGCGCGAUUGGAGCCGCCGAUAUCAGAUUAGGUAGUUGGUGGGGUAAAGGCCCACCAAGCCAACGAUCUGUAGCUGGUCUGAGAGGACGACCAGCCACACUGGAACUGAGUCACGGUCCAGACUCCUACGGGAGGCAGCAGUGGGGAAUUUUGGACAAUGGGCGAAAGCCUGAUCCAGCCAUUCCGCGUGCAGGAUGAAGGCCCUCGGGUUGUAAACUGCUUUUGUACAGAACGAAAAGGUUUCUACUAAUACUAGGAGCUCAUGACGGUACUGUAAGAAUAAGCACCGGCUAACUACGUGCCAGCAGCCGCGGUAA
rnacentral:rRNA from 1 species